CACGUAAGAUGCUAGCGUUGUUCGGAAUUAUUGGGCGUAAAGGGCAUGUAGGCGGUUAUUCAAGUCUGGUGUGAAAUCUCGGAGCUUAACUCCGAAACUGCAUUGGAAACUAGAUAACUAGAAUUGCUGAGGGGAAGCCGGAAUUCCAGGUGUAGGGGUGAAAUCUGUAGAGAUCUGGAAGAACACCAAUGGCGAAGGCAGGCUUCUAGCAGAUAAUUGACGCUGAGGUGCGAAGGGACGGGGAG
rnacentral:rRNA from 1 species